UAACACAUGCACCAAGCACACAA
rnacentral:misc_RNA from 1 species